rnacentral:rRNA from 1 species
AGCCCUGGAAACGGGGUCUAAUACCGGAAUUGACACGCUACCGCAUGGGAUGCGUGUGGAAAGCUGCGGCGGUGCAGGAUGAGCCCGCGGCCUAUCAGCUUGUUGGGGGGGUGACGGCCCACCAAGGCGACGACGGGUAGCCGGCCAGAGAGGGCGACCGGCCACACUGGGACUGAGACAUGGCCCAGACUCCUACGGGAGGCAGCAGUGGGGAAUAUUGCACAAUGGGCGAAGGCCUGAUGCAGCGAAGCCGCGUGAGGGAUGACGGCCUUCGGGUUGUUAACCUCGUUCAGCAGGGAAGAAGCGAGAGUGACGGUACCUGCAGAAGAAGCGCCGGCUAACUACGUGCCAGCAGCCGCGGUAAUACGUAGGGCGCAAGCGUUGUCCGGAAAUUUUGGGCGUAAAGAGCUCGUAGGCGGCUUGUCGCGUCGGAUGUGAAAGCCGGGAGCUUAACUCCGGGUCUGCAUUCGAUACGGGCAGGCUAGAGUUCGGUAGGGGAGAUCGGAAUUCCUGGUGUAGCGGUGAAAGGCGCAGAUAUCAGGAGGAACACCGGUGGCGAAGGCGGAUCUCUGGCCCGAUACUGACGCCGAGGAGCGAAAGCGUGGGGAGCCAACAGGAUUAGAAACCCUGGUAGUCCACGCCGAAAACG